GACGAACGCUGGCGGCGUGCUUAACACAUGCAAGUCGUACGGUAAGGCCCUUUCGGGGGUACACGAGUGGCGAACGGGUGCGUAACACGUGAGUAACCUGCCCACAACUUUGGGAUAACGCUAGGAAACUGGUGCUAAUACUGGAUAUGUGCUCCUGCUGCAUGGUGGGGGUUGGAAAGCUCCGGCGGUUGUGGCUGGACUCGCGGCCUAUCAGCUUGUUGGUGGGGUAGUGGCCUACCAAGGCGGCGACGGGUAGCCGGCCUGAGAGGGUGACCGGCCACAUUGGGACUGAGAUACGGCCCAGACUCCUACGGGAGGCAGCAGUGGGGAAUAUUGCACAAUGGGCGCAAGCCUGAUGCAGCAACGCCGCGGGCGGGAUGACGGCCUUCGGGUUGUAAACCGCUUUCAGCAGGGACGAAGCUUUUUGUGACGGUACCUGCAGAAGAAGCACCGGCUAACUACGUG
rnacentral:rRNA from 1 species